UGGGGAAUAUUGGACAAUGGGCGCAAGCCUGAUCCAGCCAUGCCGCGUGAGUGAUGAAGGCCCUAGGGUUGUAAAGCUCUUUCACCGGUGAAGAUAAUGACGGUAACCGGAGAAGAAGCCCCGGCUAACUUCGUGCCAGCAGCCGCGGUAAUACGAAGGGGGCUAGCGUUGUUCGGAUUUACUGGGCGUAAAGCGCACGUAGGCGGACUUUUAAGUCAGGGGUGAAAUCCCGGGGCUCAACCCCGGAACUGCCUUUGAUACUGGAAGUCUUGAGUAUGGUAGAGGUGAGUGGAAUUCCGAGUGUAGAGGUGAAAUUCGUAGAUAUUCGGAGGAACACCAGUGGCGAAGGCGGCUCACUGGACCAUUACUGACGCUGAGGUGCGAAAGCGUGGGGAGCAAACAGGAUUAGAUACCCCUGUAGUCCCUGAGCGGGCUGGCAAGGCGCAU
rnacentral:rRNA from 1 species